CUCCAGAAAGCUCAGCCAAGACCCAGACUUGUGCCCUGCUAAUGGAUCUCUUCUAUCCCACUGUCAUCUAGGUUGUCUUUCUGGAAGUUUUUAAGUCUCGUGCCAAAAAUACAUCCCUAAUUACCAGAGAGGCAAGCCUGAAAAUCCGCAGAGAGAAGAAGCUGCCCAAGAAUGGAAAGGAAGAAAUAUAUCACAUCAUCUGUCUGUCCACGGGCUUUCCUUGGGGCUUAUGAAGAUUUCUUCAUGGUAACUACUCCCGCAUUGAUUUUAAAAGAGCCAGGACGUGACAGACAUCUGAUAAAUA